ensembl:lncRNA
AAGAAGGUAGAAACUAGGGUCUGUAGGACCUGCCUAGUUGAUAGUGUUGUUAAGAAGGUAGAAACUAGGGUCUGUAGGACCUGCCUUGUUGAUAGUGUUGUUAAGAAGGUAGAAACUAGGGUCUGUAGGACCUGCCUAGUUGAUAGUGUUGUUAAGAAGGUAGAAACGAGGGCCUGUAGGACCUGCCUUGUUGAUAGUGUUGUUAAGAAGGUAGAAACUAGGGCCUGUAGGACCUGCCUUGUUGAUAGUGUUGUUAAGAAGGUAGAAACUAGGGCCUGUAGGACCUGCCUUGUUGAUAGUGUUGUUAAGAAGGCAGAGCAGCGCAUUAUUAUGGACAGACUUCUCCCCAUUUUAACUACUGUUGUAUCAACAUGUUUCGACCAUGACAGUUCACAAUCCAGGGUUACAACCAAGCAGUUUAGUCAACUUAACUUGCUCAAUUUCUACAUUAUCUUUCAUAUCGGCGAGAAUUUGUAAAACAAUUAAAU